GAUGAACGCUGGCGGCGUGCCUAAUACAUGCAAGUCGAGCGAACAGACGAGGAGCUUGCUCCUCUGACGUUAGCGGCGGACGGGUGAGUAACACGUGGAUAACCUACCUAUAAGACUGGGAUAACUUCGGGAAACCGGAGCUAAUACCGGAUAAUAUAUUGAACCGCAUGGUUCAAUAGUGAAAGACGGUUUUGCUGUCACUUAUAGAUGGAUCCGCGCCGCAUUAGCUAGUUGGUAAGGUAACGGCUUACCAAGGCAACGAUGCGUAGCCGACCUGGGAGGGUGAUCGGCCCCCCUGGAACUUGAACCCGGCCCAGACCCCUACGGGGGGCAGCAGUAGGAAAUCUUCCGCAAUGGGCGAAAGCCUGCCGGGGCAACCCCGGGGGGGUGAAAAAGGUCUUCGGUUCGUAAACCUUUUUUAUUGGGGAAAAAAAAAUGUGUAAGUAACUAUGCCCGUCUUGACGGGACCUAAUCAAAAAGCCCCGGCUACCUCCGU
rnacentral:rRNA from 1 species